CUUACGCGUAGGGCUACACACGUGCUACAAUGGCAGUGACAAUGGGAUAAUCCCCAAAAGCUGUCUCAGUUCGGAUUGUCGGCUGCAACUCGCCGGCAUGAAGUUGGAAUCGCUAGUAAUCGUGGAUCAGCAUGCCACGGUGAAUACGUUCCCGGGCCUUGUACACACCGCCCGUCACACCAUGGGAGUUGGGUUUACCCGAAGGCAGUGCGCUAACCGUAAGGGGGCAGCUGACCACGGUAGGCUCAGCGACUGGGGUGAAGUCGUAACAAGGUAGCCGUAGGGGAACCUGCGGCUGGAUCACCUCCUU
rnacentral:rRNA from 1 species